GACAGAGGAUGCAAGCGUUGUCCGGAAUUAUUGGGCGUAAAGAGCUCGUAGGCGGUCUGUUGCGUCCGCUGUGAAAACUCGGGGCUUAACCCCGAGCCUGCAGUGGAUACGGGCAGACUAGAGGUAGGUAGGGGAGAAUGGAAUUCCCGGUGUAGCGGUGAAAUGCGCAGAUAUCGGGAGAACACCGGUGGCGAAGGCGGUUCUCUGGGCCUUACCUGACGCUGAGGAGCGAAAGCGUGGGGAGCGAACAGG
rnacentral:rRNA from 1 species